rnacentral:rRNA from 1 species
UACGUAGGGUGCGAGCGUUAAUCGGAAUUACUGGGCGUAAAGCGUGCGCAGGCGGUUUUGUAAGACAGAUGUGAAAUCCCCGGGCUUAACCUGGGAACUGCAUUUGUAACUGCAAGGCUAGAGUACGGCAGAGGGGGGUAGAAUUCCACGUGUAGCAGUGAAAUGCGUAGAUAUGUGGAGGAAUACCGAUGGCGAAGGCAGCCCCCUGGGUCGAUACUGACGCUCAUGCACGAAAGCGUGGGGAGCAAAC